UCCGAGUUGACCUCGGCAGUCUCCUAUGAGUCCCCGGCCGAACCGCUGGCAACAUAGGACAAGGGUUGCGCUCGUUGCGGGACUUAACCCAACAUCUCACGACACGAGCUGACGACAACCGUGCACCACCUGUAUACGGCGCCCGAAGGCACACCCGUGUUUCCACAGGUUUUUCCGUAUAUUUCAAGCCCUGGUAAGGUUCUUCGCGUUGCGUCGAAUUAAGCCACAUGCUCCACCGCUUGUGCGGGUCCCCGUCAAUUCCUUUGAGUUUUAGCCUUGCGGCCGUACUCCCCAGGCGGGAUACUUAAUGCGUUAGCUGCGGCACCGAAAGCGUCGAUAGCUCCCGAUACCUAGUAUCCAUCGUUUACGGCUAGGACUAC
rnacentral:misc_RNA from 1 species